GGCUCAGGAUGAACGCUAGCGGCAGGCUUAAUACAUGCAAGGUCGUGGGGCAGCAUGAGUAGCAAUACUUGAUGGCGACCGGCAAACGGGUGAGGAACACGUACACAACCUUCCUUACAAGCGGGGAAUAGCCCAGAGAAAUUUGGAUUAAUACCCCAUAAUAUAUUUGAUAAGGCAUCUUAUUAAUAUUAAAGCUUCGGCACUUGAUGAUGGGUGUGCGGCUGAUUAGAUAGUUGGCGGGGUAACGGCCCACCAAGUCUACGAUCAGUAGCUGAUGUGAGAGCAUGAUCAGCCACACGGGCACUGAGACACGGGCCCGACUCCUACGGGAGGCAGCAGUAAGGAAUAUUGGACAAUGGACGAAAGUCUGAUCCAGCCAUGCCGCGUGAAGGAUUAAGGUCCUCUGGAUUGUAAACUUCUUUUAUAUGGGACGAAAAAAGGGCAUUCUUGUUCACUUGACGGUACCAUAUGAAUAAGCACCGGCUAACUCCGUG
rnacentral:rRNA from 1 species